CUGCGCGCCUGCGCGCUGCUGGCCGACGGAGCGGAGCUUGCCGAUGCCGAGCGGGCGCUACGUCCAGCGGUCGGAGCCGCGUCUUCUCCCGGCUCCGCCACCAGCCGGGGCUCGGGUCGGGGCCCGGGGCCCCGGGGCCCCGGGGCAUGGCCCUCCGGACUGCGCAGGGCGACGGCCCCACCUCCAGCCACUGGGACGGCGGCGCGGAGAAGGCAGACUUUAACGCCAAAAGGAAAAAGAAAGUGGCAGAGAUACACCAGGCUCUGAACAGUGAUCCCACUGAUGUGGCUGCCCUUAGACGCAUGGCUAUCAGUGAAGGAGGGCUCCUGACUGAUGAGAUCAGACGAAAAGUGUGGCCCAAGCUCCUCAAUGUCAAUGCCAAUGACCCACCUCCUAUAUCAGGGAAGAACCUACGGCAGAUGAGCAAGGACUACCAACAAGUGUUGCUGGACGUCCGGCGGUCGUUGCGGCGGUUUCCUCCUGGCAUGCCAGAGGAACAGAGAGAAGGGCUCCAGGAAGAACUGAUUGACAUCAUCCUCCUCAUCUUGGAGCGCAACCCUCAGCUGCACUACUACCAGGGCUACCAUGACAUUGUGGUCACAUUUCUGCUGGUGGUAGGCGAGAGGCUGGCAACAUCCCUGGUAGAAAAAUUAUCUACCCACCACCUCAGGUACCAGUAGAGAGGAACAUGAGACGAUGGGCAUCACUCCUCAGCCAUCCUGGGGAUAACUCACUGGCCCGUUUUCUGGUCAGCUUUUUUAGGAGUUUGAGCCCUCGCCACUCCCAGCCCUGAUCUAAGUGUUUGGUGACCAGGCUUAUUGAAUUGUCUCCCUCCAGGGAUUUCAUGGAUCCAACAAUGGACAACACCAAGCAUAUAUUAAACUAUCUGAUGCCCAUCAUUGACCAGGUGAAUCCAGAGCUCCAUGACUUCAUGCAGAGUGCUGAGGUGGGGACCAUCUUUGCCCUCAGCUGGCUCAUCACCUGGUUUGGGCAUGUCCUGUCUGACUUCAGGCACGUCGUGCGGUUAUAUGACUUCUUCCUGGCCUGCCACCCACUGAUGCCCAUUUACUUUGCAGCCGUGAUUGUGUUGUAUCGCGAGCAGGAAGUCCUGGACUGUGACUGUGACAUGGCCUCGGUCCACCACCUGUUGUCCCAGAUCCCUCAGGACUUGCCCUAUGAGACACUUAUCAGCAGAGCAGGAGACCUUUUUGUUCAGUUUCCCCCAUCCGAACUUGCUCGGGAGGCCGCCGCCCAACAGCAAGCUGAGAGGACGGCAGCCUCUACUUUCAAAGACUUUGAGCUGGCAUCAGCCCAGCAGAGGCCUGAUAUGGUGCUGCGGCAGCGGUUUCGGGGACUUCUGCGGCCUGAAGAUCGAACAAAAGAUGUCCUGACCAAGCCAAGGACCAACCGCUUUGUGAAGUUGGCAGUGAUGGGGCUGACGGUGGCACUUGGAGCGGCCGCACUGGCUGUGGUGAAAAGUGCCCUGGAAUGGGCCCCUAAGUUUCAGCUGCAGCUGUUUCCCUGAAAGCCAGAGAAGACCUUCGUCUUACAUCACAUUAAGGUCUCACCCUUCCAUGGAAGGAUUGGGAGGGGUGGAAUUUCCUUUAUUAAAAGGGUUUCUGUCCAGAGUUUUUUAUUCCUGCCACCCUGCCCUGCCCGUUUGUGUUUGCCUUUACUUCAGAGGCCAAUAGCAGAGCCUACCUGACACAGAGGGGACUUGGGGGCCUGGCACAGAAUCUUAUGCCCCUCCCAGUGGGCUUUUGGAUGGGCUCUCUGCCACCUCCCCUGGUGUUGGAGGAAGUGGGUUUCUGAAGCUUGCAGCUGCCUUUGCAACCUGCUGGGCCUGGGCUGCCCUAGUUACCAGGAACCUCCUAGUCACCCCGUAGAAAGUGAGCUGGAACAUGGGAUGCCCUCUUACUGCCCUUGCUUGCCUGCAUCAGAUGGACACAGAGGGAGGGAGCUGCUGCUGAAGGAGUCAGGCUUGGGUUGGAGAGCAAGAGGCCAAAGGACUCGUCUGGGAGCGUGAUUGGCCCCUCUUACUAGCAGCUCCAUCAGCUGGUCAGAAAUCAGAGACAGAAGGGAACUAGGUUACUCGUUAAAUCCUACCUAUUUUCAGCCUAGAAAUCACAUGGGCAUUUCCAGUCAAGUGGGAAGGAAUGCUCAUUUUUAGGGCCUAGACCUAGACUAGUUUUGCCUGCCUUUUUUUUCCUCCCUGUUUUCUUCUACAAGCCACACAACAUUGCUUAUAAAAGGUACUUUUAUUACUAUUUUUAGAAUACAUACACCCCAUAUGUAAAUUACCCUCACUUUUAAAGUAAUAAUAGUUCCUUCACGGAAAAAAAAUAGUGCUCAUCAGAAGGAUGAGCUUCUAAGAUCCUGAAUUUUACUUUGUACUUGAUUAACAUUUUCGCUUUAGCCGGAGUUGCUAUUUGCAAACAGCUUUCCACUUCCAAAGUGCCACUUUCUGACCGGUUUUUCUUCCUGUUUUCCUCAAAUCAUCCUACUCCCAAAUAGGCACCCACUCACUACCUUGGUGUCAUUUUUGGGGUCUGAUUUGUCUCGUCAACUGCUGGUCUCUCCCACCUGGUUGGAAAUGUCAUUGGAAACUUGCAAAGACUCUCCAGACCUUAGGGAACAAGAGGCAUCACUCAAUCCUUCUGGGACAGCUUCCCUGUAAGCAAAGCCAGGUUUGUUUUAGAUUAACUCUGGCCUGAAAAAAAAAGUGCCUUUUGCUGCUUUAAAGAAUUGGGGUGUAUGGUAUGAAGCAGCCAUGUACUUGUAUUUUCCUGGUCUUUCCUGGGCACUCUUCUUUCUUGGCAGGUGUUUUCUUAAAGUGAACACACCAGAAGCACUCCACCCCACCAUAUCCUGUCCUCUUUGCAUGCCUGUUGUGUGCAGGGUGGAGGGUGUCCCACAUGCCAGGCAGCUGGCGAGCCAGAGCAGCUGGGAGCCCUGUCCGCUGAGUUACACUAAGCACUUUAUUUUUAUUUAUUUUAUUAUUAUUUUCUUUUUUCUGAGAUGGAGUCUCACUCUGUUGCCCAGGCUGGAGUGCAGUGGCACAGUCUCAGCUCACUGCAACCUCUGCCUCCCAAGUUCAAGCAGUUCUCCCUGCCUCAGCCUCCCAAGUAGCUGGGCCUACAGGCACCUGCUACCAUGCCUGGCUAAUUUUUGUAUUUUUAGUAGAGAUGGGGUUUCGCCACGUUGGCCAGGCUGGUCUCGAACUCUUGACCUCAGGUGAUCUGCCCAUCUCAUCCUCCCAAAGUGCUGGGAUUACAGGCGUGAGCCACCACGCCCGGCCACUACGCACUUUAAAACCAAAAAAAGCUCAAAGUGAUGGAUCAUUGUCCAUGGCUCAGGAGCCCCACCUUGGGGUGAGUGUGAUAUAGAUGGAUUAAUUUAGACAGUGGUGUAUUCAUCAGGGCAAAGGAAAUUCUUCCAGAGGUGAUGAUGCGGCAGAUAUUCCCAGUGCUCUCCCAAAGCAAGCUGGCCCUCUUGUCAUCAUCUCAGUGGGCGGCACCAGCUGCCCCUCCUUCCACAAGCACUCAAGCCUGUUUGUAAAUACUGAAGGAAUUGAUGGGGUUGAGGAAAGGAGGUGCAUGUGACCAGGGUCCCAAGGCCACAGCUUUUCAGAUCCUAGGAAGCAAGUGGCAUUUGCUUGAGUUGUGGCCUCGGAAGGAGAAUGUUUAUCUGUUUUCUAACUUUGCUGACACCAGGAUUCUCCCUGUCAUUGAGAAGAAAGCAUUAUCUAAUUACCUUCAGGUGGUUUACUUAUUCUGUAAAGAAUAUGUGUAAAUAUUUUGUACAGAGCCCUGUAUCAAAUAAACAGCCAUAUGUGGUUACUGA
rnacentral:sRNA from 1 species